AAGUUGCAGUGAGCUGAGAUCAUGCCACUGCAAACAGUGAGACUCUCAAAUAAUAAUAAUAUUAUUAUUAAUAAAAACAUUGGAGAAGAGGGAAGAAUUGUAAUGGAAGUUGCCAUCCUCUUAAAAAAAGGUUUAAGGGGCCAGGUGUGGUGGCUUACACUAUGUAAUAACAGCAAUUUGGGAGGCCAAGUGGAAGGAUCACUGAGGUCAGGAGUUGGAGACCAGCCUGGGCGACAUAGUGAUACCAUCUCUAUGAAAAGUUGUAUCUUCAUAAAUAAACAGUUAAAGGAGAAAAGGCUUUUGAUCAGCUUAGCUACUUUAUUGCCAUAGGUUAUUCAAGUGAUUGUUUUCCACGGUAGCCAUUAACUUUGCUAUUGUUAUAACUGAAACCUGGCCCUUCAAGAAAGUAGAAGUAACAUCUUCAGUCUGAAUAGUAUUAGUGAAUUUAGCCCUGCCAUGAGUUCCAUGUGCACCUUUAAUGCAAAAAA